CGCCACCAGCUACCAUUUCUCGAAGGGGGACUCCAGGACGCUGAGCCUCGGUGACCAGAACCCGUCCCGUCUGCUGAAGCUGUACGGUCGGCCUUCGCACCAGCAGCUGAUGCGCAUGUGGGCCGAGCUGUUCUACGUGGUCUCGGUCCCCGUCCUGCUGGUCACCACUUUCCUCUACUCACUGCUCAGGUUUGUUCUGGAGGCGGUGGUGCGGCCGGUCGCCGUCGGACCCGUCCAGCUGCUGGGAGACCACCUGCUGAAGCCGGCCGUCGUGGCGCUGCACGACUCCCUCCUGCUGCCGGCCGCCACCCUGCUGGCCAA